UGGUGAACCUUAGGGUCAAGAGGGCAGAUGUGCUAAACUCUCUUAUUUGGGCUUAUGAGAAAGGAUAUAACGAGUUACUGGGUUACUGGGUAGAGGCGGGAAAAACUAUUGGGCCAAUUUUAAUUGUGGUAUGUGAUGUUUAAUUUUAAUUGUGGUAUGUGAUGUUUAUUGGAAGGUGUGUAUAGCUCCGGUUCGGGUGACCACACCACCACCUUUCUUGUGUUUGCCAUUCUCGGCCCCGUUGCCUGUGCUUGGAGUGGCUUGAUCUCCGGCGUCUUCUUGAGGUGUUGGCCGGUGAUGCGUUGGAGGUUGCUCGGUUCGAGGUGCUCUGGUGGCGGCUGGGGUAAUAGGCUGCUAGGUUUUUGUUUUUUGUUUUGUUGUUUUGGGCUCAAAUUCUUGUUUUGGGUUGGGCUUUCUUUGCUGUGUGGGAGGUCCAUCAUUAUGCUUUGUGCUUCACUUGUAUUUGGACCGCCUUUUGUAUAAAUUUGUUCUGUUGGUAAUAAAAAUUACCUUUGACCAAAAAAAAAAAAAA